AACUCGCCUGCAUGAAGCUGGAAUUGCUAGUAAUCACAGGUCAGCAUACUGUGGUGAAUACGUUCCCGGGCCUUGUACACACCGCCCGUCACACCAUGAGAGUUGAGAAUACCCGAAGUCCAUGUCAAAGUGGCCGAAGGUAGGCUUGAUGAUUGGGGUGAAGUCGUAACAAGGUAAC
rnacentral:rRNA from 1 species